rnacentral:rRNA from 1 species
UACGUAGGGGGCGAGCGUUGUCCGGAAUCAUUGGGCGUAAAGGGCGCGUAGGUGGUUCUGUAUGUCUACCGUGAAAGCGUACGGCUCAACCGUAUUUUGUCGGUAGAAACUGCAGGACUUGAGGCUGGGAGGGGCUGGUGGAAUUCCCUGUGUAGCGGUGAAAUGCGCAGAUAUCAGGAGGAACACCGGUGGCGAAGGCGGGUCUCUGGGCAGUAACUGACGCUGAGGAGCGAAAGCGUGGGGAGCGAACAGG